GGAUUGUGGCUCAGCGGUAGAGCGCUCGCCUAGCUUGGGUGGGACCCGGGUUCGAUCCUCAGCACCA
rnacentral:tRNA from 1 species